rnacentral:lncRNA from 1 species
GGUGAACCGAUUAAUUCCUUGACAUCGUGUGUGUGCAAUAUAUACUCAUGGCAUUAUGUGCCAUGCAUGUGUAGAGGCCAGAGAUUAAAACCAGGUGUUACUUCUAGCUGGCUAGCCAGUGAACAACAGGGCUCCUCCUGCCACCUCAGCUUCCACCCAGCACACACCACUGCACCUGGAAUUGUACACAGGUGCCGGGGAUUUGAACUUGGGUCCUCAUACUUAUACAGCAAGACUGUACCACUCAGCCAUCUUGCCAGCCUCUCUCGAGAGUUCUCUGUGCAUAAAGGCUGUGAGCCUUAGAUCCCAACGUUUGCCUCAAAACCUACCCUUAGAUAAAAGGAAGGCUGAGAGUUCAAUCGGGUAGCCCAAAGAGGAUAGAUACUCCAGCUAGAAUGUGCUGAUGCCCCUGCAGGGAGGGGCAGGGGCUGCUUGGGAGUGGAGGGUGGUGCCCCAGGAGUGGAGGGUGGCACAUGGAACCCAGCAGGGAAGCACACAAGCUUUAUUGUCAUUCCUGAUUAGAAAAGUGGGGCCUAAGCCCCUGAGUAGGGAGCUAGGGCUUGUCCCAGGUCACUGCUUGUAGAAGAUACCAGCAUGACCUGUAGCCCCCAUGGGCAUGGCUGCCUCUUAAUGGCUGCCAAGUCCAGGCACUGAGGCUGGAGGCAGCAGUUUCCAGGGUGACCUGUGCAGGCUCCAUGGGAAACAGGGACCCUGAUGUAUCAGCACAGGGAGGAGUAUAUCCUGGUCCUUCUGGAAUGUCCUGAGACAGAGGCCCGUGCUGGCCCCUGGUUGAGCCCAAUCAUGGACUUGCUGCAUGUCCUUGGGCAGGCAGUGACCUCUCUCUGGGCAUGGGUUUCUGUGGGGCUGCAGUUCUACUCUUCAUGACCUUGCAUGCAGUUCCCACCUGCCUUGGGCGGCCGCCCACACAGCAGUCACAAUUGGAUAGAAGUCCAUCCCUGACCAUGGUCCAGCGGUGGCCAGCUUGGGCUUGGGUGGUUUAGGGGAGUGCUGCACACAAGGAGAGAGAUGCCUUGAGGCCAUGGCAGUUGCAGGGGUCUGGAUGGCUGGGCUGUGAGUCAGAUAACUUUAAGGACUCUGGAAAGACAAAAAGAGAGGUGUGGGUGUUGCUAGGCCAACUAAUCAUGCCCCAGGCAGGAGGGGCGCUGAGUCCAAGCCAGUGACCAGCUCGUGAACAUCAGGGCUACUGUCUGCAGUGUAAGGAUCUGUCCGUCAUGGACAAGGUGCUGCAGUC